CCCGCGGGCCCUGACCAUCUCCUGUACGCCUUAUGCGCCGUCCGCGUCUCAACCUCCCAGUUCGCCGGCGCCCCCUCUCCACCGUGCCCUCGCUGCACGUGAGCAGGCUGCCAACCCCGGAUCCAGUGUCAUCCGGGUUUCCUCAUCGACGGUGAGAUCGGCUUGGUCUUCCUCGCGGUGGAGACGUUGCGGCAGCAACGUCGGCCACGCCUUGGGUCGUGAGCGGCUCGAUAUUAGUCUCACCAAAUACUGGUGCUUUGCAGCCCACUAAUGGAUCAACGACUAAUCUCCCGAGGUUGAUUUGCAAGGCUUGUGUGGACUGAACCUGUUCCUCUAAACCAAGGGGUCCUUCUGGCCCUUUUCCUGCAUCUGGCAUGCGACAUAGCAAAUGAGACAUCCUUGAAGCUUCAAUUGAUACAAAGGCAUACCAAUUCCAGAAGAUGUGCACAAGGAAGUUAAUGUAACAAGCAUCUUGAAACUAACUUGUGGUGGCACUUGCUACAAAGCAGUGUAUACAAGAAAGGAAGAUGUUUGAUCAUAUUAUCUGCUACAGAUCUGCAUCUGUAGAUUAAGUCAAUGUUGUGGAGCACUUGAUUAUGUGAGGUACCAUGGUCUUUUCGGGAUCUUUGAAUCUUGGAGAAAUGCCAUGUUGACCAUUGCGAGGUGCUGCCUAUUUUUAUUAUUUGGUGAUUACAAUUACUAAAUGUAUCAUACUUGUUGUAAGAUGAACUUCUGGAGAAUAUAUGUCACAUAUAUGAAUUAUGAAGUGUGUUUUGAUAGAUAUAUUGAGCAAAUAAUGAUUCCUAAUUUGUUCUCAGAUAAUUUAUAUCAGUUUGGACCUAACCAUACCAUUGGUUUGUAAGACAAGAAAUCUGUGACCAAUCCAACCACUACAACAAACAAAAUUUCUUAUCAGCAGGGUUGCUCCUGGACCAAUUAAUUACCAUUUAGAGUGUGCGCGUGCUUAAAAUUCGUGUAUCAAAGAGUUUGUUCUCAGAUAUUGCAGAAUAGUUCUUAUGUGAAGAUUGUUUUGAUAUGUGCCUUCAGCUCUAUGCCUUCGUAAAAGUAGGCCAAAAUCAUAUUUCUAACACUUCUUAAGGGAUGCUAUUUUAGUUCAUUUUCCAUAUGCUUAUGGAGAAUUUUCAAUUAUGCAUUAAAUGAUACUGCAUAACUUAGUUUAUGUAUCUGAAACACUUUUGUAUGUGCUAUACACACACUUUCUCUCAUGGUUCAAUAUGUGAAUAUUGCUUCAAUAACUUGGUGUCAUGCGGAAGGAGGUCCAACUUAGGUGAAGUCUUGUCAAGGGAAAAUAAUGAAUAAGCCGAGCAUCAAAUCAUACAAAUCAAAACCAAGCUCCAACCAACUAUUUGAUUAGUGAUAUAUGUUUGCCACAAAUUUAACAUAUUUUGUGACUAGUUUUAGAAAUUCCGACCAUUCUAUUGCCAAAAUUGACGGGCGCGCAAAGCGCGCCAUCCACGAUCUAGUUCUUCAUAUACUAACCCUCUCCUAAAUGAUAGAUGAGGCAUUUGACUUAUCUCCGUUAUUUUCCUUUCUGCAAAUUAGACCAAUAGUCUCUUUUAGUCAACUUAAGGGUGUGUUGAAUAUGACAGUUAAUGAAGAUGGUCAUUCUUGCUGUUGAAAGUACACAAUCUGACUCAUUUUAAAGUUGUACCUUAUCUUUAUGACAAGACUAAGCUGCUACUUUAGCAAGUGUUUUACUUCAACACAGAUUGCUGUAAGAAAGAAAGCAUUUUUUUGCAAUAAAGCAAGCAUUGAACGCACUGAAGUGUCCACAGCAGAAGAGCUUGAAUUUUUUGCUGACAUAAAUUUAAGUAACCUUCUCCAUGCAUAUGCUGUUUCUUUCAACCAUUUGUAUCUAAAUAUCAAUACUCAUUUUGAACUAUAUGCUCAGGCCUACCUUUUUGUUUGAUGUUAUCUAUGUUUUUAAGGCGUCCGUAAGGCGUCGCUUAGGCGACGCCUAGGCGUCAGGGCGCCCUCCAGGCUCAAGGCGUCGGCCUUGCCUUAGACAGUUGCGUAAGGCGUCUGCCUUAGGCUGUAAGGCGUCUGAAGCGUCCGCCUUAGCGCCGCCUUGCACGCCUCAGACCAAAUCAGACGCCUUAGCUUGUCAGGCAGGGAAAUAGAGAUUGCAGGCGGGAAAACUGACCUGGGCGGGAACACAAGCGCGGGAAACAUUGGUUCAGGUGCGACCAGUUAUGAGAAGGGGAAAGAGAGAGAGAAUCCACGCGAGAGGUCUCUCCUGUCUCUUCUCUGGACCAUUGACGGAGGCUUCCUCCUCAGAUCUGCGGCAGCCGCCAGCCUCCUCCCUCCGGCCACAGUUCCUCCCCCUCCUCUCCGGCUGCAGCUCCUCCCUCCGGCCACAGUUCCUCCCCCUCCUCUCCGGCUGCAGCUCCUCCCCAUCCUCCUCUGGCGCAACCCUCUUCCAGCAGAUCAGUACCAUAUCAAGGUAUGAAUCCCGCCCUCUCUUUUCCCCCCUUCCCCCCCUCUCCUCUUUCUUCCAUCCAGCAGUGUAGCUUGCCAUGCUUGCCUGCUCUGUUAUGCACAGCUCCUCUACUAACUGUUAGGUGCUGCCUCUCUUAUGCACAGCAGUGUAGCUAGAUGUGCUUGCCUGCUCCUUCUCAUCUGCAUCUGUUUCUUCCCAGAUCUGCUUCUCCACCCACAAGGCAGCAGCCCCACCACUGCUUCUCUCCUUCCCCAUGCUUGAUCUGGCUGCUCUAAUGAUUUGGCUCUUCUCUCUUUUUCUUUGACAGUAGCCAGGUGUACCUGCUCUGAUGGAUCUAUCCAAUGAUCCUAGUAGAAGAGCUAUAUCAGAUGAUCCAGCCUGGAAGUAUGGGUUCUGGCCAGAUUUAGAGAGGAAAGAUUUACUCCAGUGUACAUUAUGAGCCUAGGAGAAGGCUAAAGCAGCACUUUUCUGGGGGUUCCAGUGAUGCGGAUAAGUGUCCCGAGGCAUCCGUGGAGAUUAGGAUAGAGAUGCACAAUUCCUUAAACACUAGACAGUUUAAAGCUAUGGAGCGAUAUAUUGAUGAGGAGGAUGUAGCUGAACUUCAAAGGCGCCGUUCUGUCAUAUACACAAGAUGAUUUGAGGCCUAUGCUUUGGUAACAGUUUAUAUGUUAAUGUUAGUUGUUAAAUCUCCUAAUUGGUUGCCAUCUAUUAUAUAUGUAUGUACAAUUUAUUAAGUUAAUGCUAGUUGUUAAAUCUCCUAAUUGGCUGCCACAUAUUAUAGAUGCAUGUGUCUAAGGCGUCGCCUCGCCUUAUGCUUUAGCGCUUAGGCGGUGAGGCGCCCCCCCAGCGCCUCGCCUCGCCUUACCGCCUUAAAAACAUAGGAUGUUAUUGGUGUGGUCUGUGUAUAAUUGUUAACUUGAUUGCCAUUUUAGUGAUAGCUCGUCACACAUUACAGAAAUCUAUUUUCCAUUCUGUAGCUCUAUGCUCAUCUGCGCCCAGGUGCAGCUAUAGCAUGGUGAAGUAACACUACAGGUAGAGAAGAAAGAAAGGAAGAAUGAUGGUAAGAACCACUGAGAUACUGAGUCCGGCCAGCCAGAAGAGUGUCAGGAGAGUGUUUCUUCAUUGGAAGAGGCGACAAAAAUUGUCCUUCAGAGUAUAUUAGUUGUUUAGCCAUCACUGAGAUAGACUAACACAUACAUUUUGUUUUGUUUUGUACUGCACCCUUAUAAUUUGGCUUUGCUGAAUACACUAUAUUUACUUCAUUUCUCUUUUGAGUUAGCAAUAAUGAUCAGUUAACAAUGUUUUAGCUGAGUUCAUUGAGCAGAGUGGUGGGAAGCUCACGAAAACACCCUUUCCAAACAGAUUUUCUUUUUCAUCAUUGUGAAGGUUGAUUUUACCUAUUUCACUUAGAUGGUGACCUCCCUGCACUCUCAUUUUUUGCUUAGGAUUCUCUUUUAAAUGGUGAGCGCUCAGAUUCUGAACAUUGGCUCUUUAGUACUGUUUUAUCAUUUUAUGAAAUUUAAGAAAAUAUGACCAAUGUGAUUUUGUUCUCUAAAGACUGGAAUUGAAUAGUAGGUCCUUUUGGUACUGUUCUAUUACGAUUAGUGGCUAAGAGAUGCAUCAGUUCGACUAGGCAUUAUCAUGUAUUGUAUCGUAGUAUCAUUUUUGCAUAGACUAAAUACCUACUUUUGCUGAAGGUUACUUUUCUUAAUAAAAUUUGGUUCAGGAUGCCGUUUUGCCUGUUGUAGUACUUUCAGCAUAGAUGCAGUAGUGGUCUGCUCCCCCAAAGAUCUGUAGCUCGUGGAUGCGGUGGAUGUGGCACAGGGAGCAGAUGAAAUGGGAAUAAGAGGAUCCCCUGCACGUGCACAAAUUCUUGCUACCUGAUGGCUGACGGUGAGGAUGCCUCUGACCUGUCUUGAGAAGGUUCGAGCUGCAGGACGAUGUGUACAGUGCACCACCAAUUCCUCCAACAGCACAGCUGUUGUACUGGUAGCAGCGACAACAACUCUCCACACAAGCAUCGCUAGCUGCUCCCGUCGAUGCACCUGAUGCCGUUCACCUGGUAGGAUUUCAUGAUUGUUCUGUCAUGAAAUAGGUUCUGCCGGAGCCAAGGUCCAGCGCAUUUUAGUUUUGUGGGAUAGACAUAGGUUGGAUGGAGCGUCGAGGAGCUUGAUUCUUUUGGUCUUAUAGUCACUGCCGAGAUAUUCGUGCACGUGGGGUGUAGAUGAGGAUGAAAUGAGCCAGGGAGAAAUAUUGCUGGUAAAAAAAAGCCUCCCAGGUUGUCUCGCCAAAAUUUACUCCUCUGUCAUCCGAUUUGGUUAAACAUUCCUUUAUUGACCCCUGGCUGCCUCAACUGGUGGACGCCGCCGGCUGCCCAAUGACCAUCAACACAUACUAGAUGAUGCCCUGCGCGUUGCAGCGGGCCUAGUAGUGCAAAUAUUAUGUAUGAACAGUAUAGCAUCAUGACAAAGAGAGUAUGUCGUAGCCUUUCUUUCAAGAUUUGCAUUCCUCAACCCUUUUUGAUCAAGUUGAUAGUUAUUGUACGAUGGAAGGUACAUAGAGCAAAACUUGGGAUGAUAUGUGGCACUCGGAAUCAUA